rnacentral:lncRNA from 1 species
AUGGGGUCGCUGUGUCCAUUUCUUUUACUGUCUAUGGCAAAACUGCGAGUUUACGAUUCAAAGUCGGAAAACACGUCACGAGUGCACCUGCUACUCAGUGUAGUUUUGAUGCCUCCUGACCAUUGCCUUGACUGGACCCAGCGGGCUAUGAAAGAGGAUCCCUGUUGCUUUCAUUUAACUUGCACUGACAGAAAUGGAAGACAAGGAUGAAAAAGCCUGAGUAAAGGACAAAAAUGUUUGCGCAGCCAGUGUCUCUCGUCCCCUUCCCUCACCACACUGGUUCCUGCUGGUCUCCUAAUACAACUUACAGCCCUGCAAAUCCGAGGCCUGGAGGAGGGAUUCUUUAGGGUUUAAACAGCUGGAAAUAACAUGAUUGCCAAAAGAAUUUCUCAAAUAGGAGAUUUAAUCAUCUCUCUUUUGCCAACAAAAUAGACCUACCUCCUUUGAACGGAAGCAGACGAAACAAAACACACAAUCCACACUAGUAAAAAAAAAAAAUAAUUCUUAAUGAUUAUUUUGUGCUGUUUUCCAGUAAAAAAAAGUCUAAACAUCCUAUGCUACUCAAGAAGCAAAACUGCAUAAGACAUUAAGAAUAAAAGUUAAGACAGUGUUUCACUUUUAUUACCUUUACUACUUUUAUUUUUUGUACUUUAUUCAUAUUUUUUUCUUGUUUCAAGCAUAAACCUUACAAAAUUCUUUGAGAUUCAUGCUUAAAACAACAAAAUAUACAAUGAUAACAGAUGAAAUAUACAUAAUAUAUAAAAUUCUACAUCAAUUGUGCUAAAAUUCAUAAAAUAUUAUAAAAUUUGUUUUAAGAGAUUAUGAUAUAAGAUUUAUAGGGAAACAGUCUAUAUAUAAUCUCUUAUAACAUGUCUUAUUCAAUUUUGCUUAUGUAAGGACAUCUAGAUAUUUUUACUGAAAUCAAUUAGACAAAAAUAGUUGUUGUUUUUUUUCAGUGUGCCAACAUUUUGCACACGCAGGCAGAUACCUAUUACCAAACCAGUCUUUUGCCUCUAAAAACAAGGGCAUUUCUUAAGCUGUUUUAAGGAAAAGAGCAAUACUGAAUGUCAGUGGCUCACAAGUAUCAAAUUUUAGCUGAAAUCUGAAUGAUUAUGACAUCAUGUCAUAUCAAUCACUGCCUGGCUUACAUAAGGACCAGUGUAGAAACAGUUUAUUUACUACAUUGACUAUGGCCAUGUGUAAAGUAUGGUAGUUAAACACUUAACUAUCUAUUGUCACUAAAGUCGAAAGUCAAAGUUGGAGGUGUGCUGAACCACCCCUCCUGUCUCUUAAUAUCCCAUUACUGAUCUGUACGUAGAUGCAGUGUUGUGUGAUGUAAAAGAAGCACAUAGAAAGCUGUUGCUGCUGCACCUGAGACUUGUGUAGCCAGACGCUUUAGGCUUCCAUUGUGUUGAGUCUUCUUGCGUCUGGUGUUUCUGCCCUCACUGCUGCUGAAAUCAAGCGGCCCAAUCACAAAGCUCACAUAUCUUGACCAUUUCAGUGCUUUGUGAAAUUGCCAAACCCAUUUUAUGGUUCACCAAUAAAAUAGAUUUUUUUUUCCCUUUCUGUCUGUGGAUUCAAAAGGAAGAGGCAGCCCUGUGGCUCUGUUAGAGUUCAGACUUGCUUGCCCUCACGUUCUCUGUUUUUGGACCAUGUCUGAGCGGUAAAACUCAAAGACUUGUCAUCCCAUUGGACUACAUAGACCAUCAUGCCUUUCUUCUUUCCAGGUAUUUAACUGAACCUCUUCUGGCUGACAGUACAAACCAGGUACUGUUGCGUUUCAUUUGAGAGGACUUCAUAGUUUAUUUGUUCCCUCACUGAACGUAACAUGCAUCUCGCAAACCAUCAAUUCUCCUGUACAACAUCAGUAUUAAAAACUGCAAAAGUUACUUGAUAAGCUCAUUAACCUGUGAUUUUUUAUUUUUGUUGACAGAUUACAAAACAGAACAAAUAUUAAUAUAUAAAACUUUUAUGUUUUUAAAAAGUAAAGAGUAGUUUAAGGCUUAGUUUUUUAUAUAUGAUAACUAUAAUUAUUAUUUUUGACGUACUGGUAUUAUUGAAUCUAUAAAUAUUAUACUAAGAGAUGUAUGAAAAAAUAAUAAAGUAUUCUUUAUGUAAAACACUUUUAAUUUGAUUCUUAUUUUGACUGAUUUGUUCUUUACAUGUCAGGACAUUUACAUUUAUGCAUUUAGCAGAA